rnacentral:rRNA from 1 species
UGCAGUCGAACGACUCUGGUAUUGAUUGGUGCUUGCAUCAUGAUUUACAUUUGAGUGAGUGGCGAACUGGUGAGUAACACGUGGGAAACCUGCCCAGAAGCGGGGGAUAACACCUGGAAACAGAUGCUAAUACCGCAUAACAACUUGGACCGCAUGGUCCGAGUUUGAAAGAUGGCUUCGGCUAUCACUUUUGGAUGGUCCCGCGGCGUAUUAGCUAGAUGGUGGGGUAACGGCUCACCAUGGCAAUGAUACGUAGCCGACCUGAGAGGGUAAUCGGCCACAUUGGGACUGAGACACGGCCCAAACUCCUACGGGAGGCAGCAGUAGGGAAUCUUCCACAAUGGACGAAAGUCUGAUGGAGCAACGCCGCGUGAGUGAAGAAGGGUUUCGGCUCGUAAAACUCUGUUGUUAAAGAAGAACAUAUCUGAGAGUAACUGUUCAGGUAUUGACGGUAUUUAACCAGAAAGCCACGGCUAACUACGUGCCAGCAGCCGCGGUAAUACGUAGGUGGCAAGCGUUGUCCGGAUUUAUUGGGCGUAAAGCGAGCGCAGGCGGUUUUUUAAGUCUGAUGUGAAAGCCUUCGGCUCAACCGAAGAAGUGCAUCGGAAACUGGGAAACUUGAGUGCAGAAGAGGACAGUGGAACUCCAUGUGUAGCGGUGAAAUGCGUAGAUAUAUGGAAGAACACCAGUGGCGAAGGCGGCUGUCUGGUCUGUAACUGACGCUGAGGCUCGAAAGUAUGGGUAGCAAACAGGAUUAGAUACCCUGGUAGUCCAUACCGUAAACGAUGAAUGCUAAGUGUUGGAGGGUUUCCGCCCUUCAGUGCUGCAGCUAACGCAUUAAGCAUUCCGCCUGGGGAGUACGGCCGCAAGGCUGAAACUCAAAGGAAUUGACGGGGGCCCGCACAAGCGGUGGAGCAUGUGGUUUAAUUCGAAGCUACGCGAAGAACCUUACCAGGUCUUGACAUACUAUGCAAAUCUAAGAGAUUAGACGUUCCCUUAGGGGACAUGGAUACAGGUGGUGCAUGGUUGUCGUCAGCUCGUGUCGUGAGAUGUUGGGUUAAGUCCCGCAACGAGCGCAACCCUUAUUAUCAGUUGCCAGCAUUAAGUUGGGCACUCUGGUGAGACUGCCGGUGACAAACCGGAGGAAGGUGGGGAUGACGUCAAAUCAUCAUGCCCCUUAUGACCUGGGCUACACACGUGCUACAAUGGAUGGUACAACGAGUUGCGAACUCGCGAGAGUAAGCUAAUCUCUUAAAGCCAUUCUCAGUUCGGAUUGUAGGCUGCAACUCGCCUACAUGAAGUCGGAAUCGCUAGUAAUCGCGGAUCAGCAUGCCGCGGUGAAUACGUUCCCGGGCCUUGUACACACCGCCCGUCACACCAUGAGAGUUUGUAACACCCAAAGUCGGUGGGGUAACCUUUUAGGAACCAGCCGCCUAAGG